GGGAGUGAUGAUGGGAAACAUUGAGAAAGUGCAGAACGUUUUUCUUACCAUCGAUAAUGUGGUUAUUCUUUCUGCUUAUAUACAUUGUUGCUCUUGUUUUACUCUAUUAGCCUUUCAGGUUCUCGAUUGAGGUGAGAAGAUUGAGCCGCUUGUCAAUAAGAUCGAUAAUCUCCGAUCACAGAUCACAGGUAUGAUAGAGAGAACUUGAACAUGUUUAUCAAUAUUUGAAUUGUAUCUAACUAAAAUGGCAGAGAAGUUUGUGGAGUCAUUAAACAAAUUUUCCAAAUCGACAAGAAAAUUUUGAUUCGUUAGAAUCAGGACUCAUUUUACGAAAGUACAAGGAUCACUCAAAUGAAAGUGAACACUUUCCUUAUCCUUAUCAAGAAGGAAAAAACAGAAGAUCUAUCAAGGUCUUCAUGAUUUACUCAUUUAACUCUAUUCUACACGCUAACAAUGUUUCUUCUAGAAUUGGUCGUUUUUCAGUUUUUCAUAGAAAUUAUUCAUAUCUUAAGUUUCUUUUCGAGUUUUAGGCACACACAGGGUGUUAAGAAAUAAGGGACGAAGAUGAGGAGAAAAAUGUGGAUUCAGAAUAUGAAGAUUAAACUGAUUGUGUUAGAUAUCAUCGUAGCUCUGAUUCUUAUCAUCAUUUUCGUGGUUGGCUAUGGCUUCAAUUCUUGAUUUCAGGCCUCCACGGUUCGGUUAGGAUUAAGUUUGCUAGAGUGGAGGCUCCACAGUUUUGUUGUUCCUUGGCCUAUUUGCUCUUUAGAUAGAAAUUUUCUUUCUGUUGGCCUUUAAUUUUGAUCUG
rnacentral:lncRNA from 1 species